CCCUUAGAUGUUCUGGGCUGCACACGUGCUACACUGGCAGGUUCAGCGAGCUUCAUGCCCUGAUCUGAAAGGAAUGGGAAAUCUUUUCAAAACCUGCCGUGCUUGGGAUAGAUGUUUGCAAUUAUUCAUCUUCAACGAGGAUUGCCUUGUAAGCGCACGUCAUCAGCGUGCAUUGAUUACGUCCCUGCCCUUUGUACACACCGCCCGUCGCUCCUACCGAUUGAAUGAUCCGAUGAAUAUCAUGGAUUGAGGAUGCAAGCAGGUUCGCCUGUCUUCAUCUUCGAGAAGUGAAGUAAAUCUUAUCAUUUAGAGGAAGGAGAAGUCGUAACA
rnacentral:rRNA from 1 species